AAUAUCUGAGGUCUCAGGAAAGG
rnacentral:piRNA from 1 species